rnacentral:rRNA from 1 species
CCUGCCGGCGACCGGCGCACGGGUGAGUAACACGUAUGCGACCUGCCCCCGCAGGGGGAUAACCGGGAGAAAUCCCGACUAAUACCGCGUAACGCCGCGGACCUGCAUGGGGUCUGCGGCCAAAGGAAGCGAUUCCGGCGGGGGAUGGGCAUGCGGCGCAUUAGCUAGUCGGCGGGGUAACGGCCCACCGAGGCGACGAUGCGUAGGGGUUCUGAGAGGAAGGUCCCCCACACUGGUACUGAGACACGGACCAGACUCCUACGGAAGGCAGCAG